CCGUAUCACGCUGAGAAACCAGUUCCCAUACGACCACCAAAGUUAAGCAACUUUAAGUAUUAUCAGUACCUAGAUGGGUGAUCGUUUAGGAAUACCAGGUGCC